CCACCACAAAUUACAACCUAAGAACUCAAAACAUUGUUUUCUCAAACCCUUUUUGCUUUCGUGAUGAAUCAAAUGCCACCAAGCAACACUUAAUUAAAACUCUUGGUGUUUACAGUGCAGGUAUUUCCAGGAAAAGCCUUGAUGCCCCAUCACGCACUUGGAGGCCAUGUUGCAUCACACACAUUCUAUGAAUAAAAUCCAAAUGUUUCCCACUCGGAUCCCUGACGUGCUCCUCGCCAGAUGGCACAGGCAGCUUUAAAGGAGGGGAUUUGCUCACGGAAAUGGACUUCUCGGCUGCCUGUCUCUGAGGCUUGGGAUUUGUCACUCCCAGGGAAGACAGAGCUUCUCCCUUUUGUUGCUUUGAAAGGACUGUGCGUGUUCAGCUCCCCUGUGCUGCACUCUAAGCUGGUGAAUCACAGUCCACACUGGAUCGGGACAUGGAUCAUACUGCAGUUGCCAAGGGAAGGAUGGAUGGCAAGGUUUUCUCCAGAUGCAUGUGGUACUUUGCUGUCAGAAUGGAUGGUGUAUGGACAAGGAGGGGUUUUUCUGAGAUGGAUUUUUUCCUAGGUUGGACUUGAUGUCUUUUCCAACCUUAAUGAUUCUAUGAUUCUAGGCCAUAGGAAAUACAGGUAUUUCUUGUACAGAAAAUAUUUGCUUCCAACUAAAGCCAAGUAUGGCCUCAGCUUCUGAGUAAAAAAAAAUUCAGGUGCAUCACAAAGAAAUUUAGCAACUUCUUGUCCAGUUUGCAUCCAGACAUGGAUUCCUUAUGAGAAGAACUCCCAGAAUUAAUCACUACUCAGGAAGACAGCACAAAUGAGCAGGAGCAGUCAGAGAUGACGAGGAGACACACGAUUUGCACUGCACAGCUUUAUCCUCCCACAUAUCCUGCUCAUUUCAGCACAGCACUACAUUUUUUUUUUAAUUUGCCAGAAAACCCAGCAGUUUCAUCAUGAGGAUGGCAGUAAACAUGUGAAUAACAACUGUAUUUCUACAGUAAGUACGUGCAGUAGAAGUAACCACCCCCAGUACUGCUUUGUGCUUUUAAAUGUGCACAGACAAGUGAAGCAAAUCAUGCAGACACAAAACUUGGCAUGUAAAUUAAAGCAGACUAAUUGAGCUCUGCCUGAACUUUCUUCCCCUGAAUCCUAAACAACCUGCUGAGCAAGUGUUCUUCCUUACAGGAGUCAAAGUGAGAGGUAUUUUAGUUUGGAAAACCAGCACUGCAGCAGCACAAAACAGAAGGUCAGGUACAC